rnacentral:rRNA from 1 species
CCAAUAGCGUAUAUUAAAGUUGUUGCAGUUAAAAAGCUCGUAGUUGAAUUUCGGGAUUGGCGCAUCGGUCGUGCCCCACGGGGUAUGAACUGGUGCAGUCAAUUUCUCACCUUCUGGAGAACCGCGAUGUCCUUAAUUGGAUGCCGCGGGGAACCAGGACCUUUACUUUGAAAAAAUUAGAGUGUUUAAAGCAGGCAUUUUGGUUUGAAUACAUUGGCUGGGAUUAAUAAAAUAGGACGACAUGGUUCUAUUUUGUUGGUUUCUAGGACCACCGUAAUGAUUAAUAGGGAUAGUUGGGGGCAUUAGUAUUCAAUUGUCAGAGGUGAAAUUCUUGGAUUUAUUGAAGACUAACUACUGCGAAAGCAUUUGCCAAGGAUGUUUUCAUUAAUCAAGAACGAAAGUUAGGGGAUCGAAGACGAUCAGAUACCGUCGUAGUCUUAACCAUAAACUAUGCCGACUAGGAAUCAGACGAUGUUAAUUUUUUAAUGACUCGUUUGGCACCUUACG